rnacentral:rRNA from 1 species
AGAUUGAACGCUGGCGGCAUGCCUUACACAUGCAAGUCAAACGGCAGCGCGGGGCAACCUGGCGGCGAGUGGCGAACGGGUGAGUAAUAUAUCGGAACGUACCCUGGAGUGGGGGAUAACGUAGCGAAAGUUACGCUAAUACCGCAUACGAUCUAAGGAUGAAAGUGGGGGAUUCGCAAGAACCUCAUGCUCCUGGAGCGGCCGAUAUCUGAUUAGCUAGUUGGUGGGGUAAAGGCUACCAAGGCAUCGAUCAGUAGCUGGUCUGAGAGGACGACCAGCCACACUGGAACUGAGACACGGUCCAGACUCCUACGGGAGGCAGCAGUGGGAAUUUUGGACAAUGGGCGAAAGCCUGAUCCAGCAAUGCCGCGUGAGUGAAGAAGGCCUUCGGUGUAAAGCUCUUUGUCAGGAAGAAACGGUGAAAGCUAAUAUCUUUGCUAAUGACGGUACCUGAAGAAUAAGCACCGCUAACUACGUGCCAGCAGCCGACG